rnacentral:rRNA from 1 species
UUCUCCUACGGGAGGCAGCAGUGAGGAAUAUUGGUCAAUGGCCGAGAGGCUGAACCAGCCAAGUCGCGUGAGGGAAGACGGCCCUACGGGUUGUAAACCUCUUUUGUCGGGGAGCAAAGCGAGUCACGUGUGACUCAUUGAGAGUACCCGAAGAAAAAGCAUCGGCUAACUCCGUGCCAGCAGCCGCGGUAAUACGGAGGAUCCGAGCGUUAUCCGGAUUUAUUGGGUUUAAAGGGAGCGUAGAUGGGUUGUUAAGUCAGUUGUGAAAGUUUGCGGCUCAACCGUAAAAUUGCAAUUGAUACUGG